CCUCCCGUCAGUUCCACCUUAAAAGGACAGGGGGGGGAAAAAGCACCGGAGUUAGUGACAUCGCAAAAUGCAGGAGACAAGAGGAGGGUUGGAUUAUUCCUUCGGCACUGGGGUAAACAAUCCACGAUAUAUCUACAACGAUUGUUUUGUCUACAAUCACCUUGAGAGCAGAAGUGGCCCCGGGCGUUGUCCUUUUGGGGGAGACUGAACUGGUCUGGCCAAAUCUUUCCUAAAAUAACAAGUUCGAGGAGAUGCUCGCUAAUUAGACAAAUGCGAUUAACCGGGAGCUUUGAGACUGAGGUUAACAAGAGGUGACCAAUGCACCCUCACUCAACUUAUUAAUGAUGAUAAAAAUGAUGAGACUGAAAUCUUCCACACAAAAAAAAAACAACAACAACAAAAAAACACUUUGAUAACUCUGGAUCUGUUAAACGUAAAAACAACCGG
rnacentral:lncRNA from 1 species